rnacentral:rRNA from 1 species
GUGGAGCAUGUGUUAAUACGUCACUAACCGUAGAACCUCACCCCAGGCUUGACAUCUGCUGAAAGCGCCUGAAAGGGUGGCCCCGGUAUGUUUAUAUCGCAGCAAGACAGGUGUUGCAUGGCUGUCGUCAGCUCGUGUCGUGAGAUGUUGGGUUAAGUCCCGCAACGAGCGCAACCCUCAUCCGAUGUUGCCAGCGUAAAGUCGGGAACUCUUCGGAAACUGCCNCGUGCAAGCGGGAGGAAGGUGGGGAUGACGUCAAGUCAGCAUGGCCCUUACGCCUGGGGCUACAACACAUGCUACAAUGGAUGUAAACAAUGGCAGCAAGACCGCGAGGUGGAGCAAAUCUCAAAAAUACAUCCUCAGUUCGGAUUGCAGUCUGCACUCGACUGCAUGAAGUCGGAAUCGCUAGUAACCGCAGGUCAGCUAAACUGCGGUGAUACGUUCCCGGGCUUGUACACACCGCCCGUCACGCCACCUGAGUUGUCUGCACCCGAAGUCGACGGCCCAGCCGCAAGGAGGGAGUCGCCGAAGGUGUGGGAGCGAGGGGACGAAGUCGUAACAAG